UACGUAGGGGGCGAGCGUUAUCCGGAUUCAUUGGGCGUAAAGCGCGCGUAGGCGGCCGCGCAGGCGGGGGGUCAAAUCCCGGGGCUCAACCCCGGGCCGCCCCCCGAACCGCGCGGCUUGGGUCCGGCAGGGGAGGGUGGAACGCCCGGUGUAGCGGUGGAAUGCGCAGAUAUCGGGCGGAACACCGGUGGCGAAGGCGGCCCUCUGGGCCGGCACCGACGCUGAGGCGCGAGAGCUAGGGGAGCGAAAGGG
rnacentral:rRNA from 1 species